GGUGCAGGCGGUCUGCCAAGUCGGAUGUGAAAUCUCCCGGCUCAACCGGGAGGGUGCAUUCGAAACUGACGGGACUAGAGUGCAGCAGAGGAAGAUGGAAUUCCCGGUGUAGUGGUGAAAUGCGUAGAUAUCGGGAAGAACACUAGUGGCGAAGGCGGUCUUCUGGGCUGUAACUGACGCUGAGGCCCGAAGGCGUGGGGAGCAAACAGGAUUAGAUACCCUGGUAGUCCACGCAGUAAACGAUGGAUACUAGGUAUGGGGAGUAUCGACCCUCUCCGUGCCGAAGCUAACGCUUUAAGUAUCCCGCCUGGGGAGUACGGUCGCAAGACUAAA
rnacentral:rRNA from 1 species